UGAAACGCAUAGCGAAAAUCU
rnacentral:piRNA from 1 species